CCUACGGGUGGCUGCAGUGAGGAAUAUUGGUCAAUGGGCGGGAGCCUGAACCAGCCAAGCCGCGUGAGGGAAGAAGGUACAGCGUAUCGUAAACCUCUUUUGUCAGGGAACAAAGGCGGGGACUAGUCCCCGGAUGAGGGUACCUGAAGAAAAAGCAUCGGCUAACUCAGUGCCAGCAGCCGCGGUAAUACGGAGGAUGCGAGCGUUAUCCGGAUUUAUUGGGUUUAAAGGGUGCGCAGGCGGCCUGUUAAGUCAGCGGUAAAAGCCCGGGGCUCAACCCCGGCGAGCCGUUGAAACUGGCGGGCUGGAGUUGGAGAGAAGUACGCGGAAUGCGCGGUGUAGCGGUGAAAUGCAUAGAUAUCACGCAGAACCCCGAUUGCGAAGGCAGCCUUCCGGCGCCCUACUGACGCUGAGGCACGAAAGUGCGGGGAUCGAACAGGAUUAGAUACCCGGGUAGUC
rnacentral:rRNA from 1 species